UUCAGUUUCACGUGUACGGUAGCCAGCGAUCUGAAAACAAAAUGGCAUCAGCCCUUUGUAAAUGCUACAAGUUGUUACAAGGAUAAUAUAUUUAAUGUAUCAUUGAACUUUUUCCACAAUUUGUUGAAUUUUACAACAUCAAACAGUGAUUUCAAAGACUUCAUCCAUCAUAAUGGUACUGCUUGUGUGAGCGAUAUAAUUACCCAUACAAAUCAAUGCAUCAUGAAUGUUACUGGUGUACAAAAUGUAACGGGAGGUGUCCACAAUGUCACCGAUCGUCGGAAUGUCACGCAACCAUCAUUAUAUUUACUUAAUCUCGAUAAUAAAGAAGCAUGCGGUGAGACCAGCAGGUUGAAGGAUUGUGUGGUAAAUCUUAUGAAGACCAAGAAAUGCCAUGAAACUGGUUCCAGGUUCAUCAGUUCAAUCUCCGAUUUUGUAAAGAAGCAACUCUGCAAUGGGGCACGACGCACCAACGCCACUAGAAACAGUGCAACGUUUAUUGGGGCCAAUGUCAUAUUGACAACACUAGCUGCAUUGGCUCUUGUCUGAAAUAUUGUAUUUAUAAGUACUUACCUAAUUAAAUAGGCCUCUCAUUAUGACUGUAGGUACGCCGGAAGCGCCACUGAUUUGUUGUUCUAAGUCCAAAUAAUAAAAUAAAUUAAAUGAAAAUAUAAU